UAUGUGAUCGUCUCUCGCAUAUCAAUAAGCGGAGGAAAAGAAACUAACAAGGAUUCCCCUAGUAACGGCGAGUGAAGCGGGAAGAGCUCAAAUUUGAAAUCUUAAAGGGUUUCCCUUUACGAAUUGUAGUUUAAAGAAGUGUUUUCUGUUGAGGUUUUGGUAAAAGUUCUUUGGAAUAGGACAUCAUAGAGGGUGAGAAUCCCGUAUUUGACCUUUACUUUCAACUUUGUGAUACACUUUCAAAGAGUCGGAUUGUUUGGGAAUGCAGUCCAAAAUGGGUGGUAAAUUUCAUCUAAAGCUAAAUAUUGGCGAGAGACCGAUAGCGAACAAGUACCGUGAGGGAAAGAUGAAAAGAACUUUGAAAAGAGAGUUAAACAGUACGUGAAAUUGUCAAAAGGGAAGCGUUUGACACCAGUGUUGUUUUUCUGAAAAUCAAUUAAAGAACUGUUUAUGCUAAGCUGUUUAGACUUUAUCAGCUAUCUGCUUAGUUUUGAGCUUUUCUUUAAUGCACUUUUCAGUUAACAAGUCAACAUCAAUUUCUUUUGCUGUAAAAAAGCUUGAGGAAGGUGGCUUGAGAUUCGUCUUAAGUGUUUAUAGCCUCUUGCCUAUGCAGUCGGAGAGAUUGAGGUCUGCAGCGUAGAUCCUUCGGGGCUAAAUGCAUUUGUGCUAAGUUAUAGCAUUUUAUAGACAACUUGUUGACUAUGAUUUGUCUUGUAGCUUACUCGCUUAUGUUAUUUUACCUACGCUUAGGAUGUUGACACACGCGCGUGCUC
rnacentral:rRNA from 1 species